AGGAUCAUUAUUGAAAUAAACCUGAUAAGUUGUUGCUGGUUCUCUAGGGAGCAUGUGCACACUUGUCAUCUUUGUAUCUUCACCUGUGCACCUUUUGUAGACCUGAUUAUCUCUCUCAAUGCUUUUUUUUAAGCACUUAGGAUUGAGGAUUGACUUUAUGUCUUUUCUUUCAUUUUCAGGUCUAUGUUUCUUCAUAUACCCAAUGUAUGUUUAUAGAAUGUAAUUAAUGGGCCUUUGUGCCUAUAAAUCUAUACAACUUUCAGCAACGGAUCUCUUGGCUCUCGCAUCGAUGAAGAACGCAGCGAAAUGCGAUAAGUAAUGUGAAUUGCAGAAUUCAGUGAAUCAUCGAAUCUUUGAACGCACCUUGCGCUCCUUGGUAUUCCGAGGAGCAUGCCUGUUUGAGUGUCAUUAAAUAUAUAUAUAUCAACCUCUUUGGUUGGAUGUGGGGUUUGCUGGCCUCUUGAGGUCAGCUCCCCUUAAAUGCAUUAGCGGACAACAUUUUGCCAACCGUUCAUUGGUGUGAUAAUUAUCUACGCUAUUGACGUGAAGCGAGGUUCAGCUUCUAACAGUCCAUUGACUUGGACAAACUUCCUUUAUUAAUGUGACCUCAAAUCAGGUAGGACUACCCGCUGA
rnacentral:rRNA from 1 species